rnacentral:rRNA from 1 species
ACGGGAGGCAGCAGUGGGGAAUAUUGCACAAUGGGGGAAACCCUGAUGUAGCGACGCCGCGUGAAGGAAGAAGUAUCUCGGUAUGUAAACUUCUAUCAGCAGGGGAGAUAAUGACGGUACCUGACUAAGAAGCCCCGGCUAACUACGUGCCAGCAGCCGCGGUAAUACGUAGGGGGCAAGCGUUAUCCGGAUUUACUGGGUGUAAAGGGAGCGUAGACGGAACGGCAAGUCUGAUGUGAAAGGCAUGGGCUCAACCUGUGGACUGCAUUGGAAACUGCCGGUCUUGAGUGCCGGAGGGGUAAGCGGAAUUCCUAGUGUAGCGGUGAAAUGCGUAGAUAUUAGGAGGAACACCAGUGGCGAAGGCGGCUUACUGGACUGUAACUGACGUUGAGGCUCGAAAGCGUGGGGAGCAAACAGGAUUAGAUACCCUAGUA